GACGAACGCUGGCGGCGUGCCUAAUACAUGCGAGUCGAACGCUUCUUUCCUCCCGAGUGCUUGCACUCAAUUGGAAAGAGGAGUGGCGGACGGGUGAGUAACACGUGGGUAACCUACCCAUCAGAGGGGGAUAACACUUGGAAACAGGUGCUAAUACCGCAUAACAGUUUAUGCCGCAUGGCAUAAGAGUGAAAGGCGCUUUCGGGUGUCGCUGAUGGAUGGACCCGCGGUGCAUUAGCUAGUUGGUGAGGUAACGGCUCACCAAGGCCACGAUGCAUAGCCGACCUGAGAGGGUGAUCGGCCACACUGGGACUGAGACACGGCCCAGACGCCUACGGGAGGCAGCAGUAGGGAAUCUUCGGCAAUGGACGAAAGUCUGACCGAGCAACGCCGCGUGAGUGAAGAAGGUUUUCGGAUCGUAAAACUCUGUUGUUAGAGAAGAACAAGGACGUUAGUAACUGAACGUCCCCUGACGGUAUCUAACCAGAAAGCCACGGCUAACUACGUG
rnacentral:rRNA from 1 species